rnacentral:rRNA from 1 species
UACGUAGGGAGCGAGCGUUGUCCGGAAUUACUGGGUGUAAAGGGAGCGUAGGCGGGAAGACAAGUUGAAUGUUAAAUCUAUCGGCUCAACCGGUAGCGGCGUUCAAAACUGUUUUUCUUGAGUGAAGUAGAGGUUGGCGGAAUUCCUAGUGUAGCGGUGAAAUGCGUAGAUAUUAGGAGGAACACCAGUGGCGAAGGCGGCCGACUGGGCUUUUACUGACGCUGAGGCUCGAAAGCGUGGGGAGCAAACAGG